rnacentral:rRNA from 1 species
CAGCAGUGGGGAAUAUUGCACAAUGGGCGCAAGCCUGAUGCAGCAACGCCGCGUGAACGAAGAAGGCUUUCGGGUCGUAAAGUUCUUUCUUAGGGAAGAAAGAUGACGGUACCUAAGGAAUAAAGCACCGGCUAAAUACGUGCCAGCAGCCGCGGUAAUACGUAUGGUGCAAGCGUUAUCCGGAAUCACUGGGCGUAAAGGGUACGUAGGCGGUGAUGCAAGUCAGAAGUGAAAGGCUACGGCUCAACCGUAGUAAGCUUUUGAAACUGCAUGACUAGAGUUCAGGAGAGGUAAGUGGAAUUCCUAGUGUAGAGGUGAAAUUCGUAGAUAUUAGGAGGAACACCAGUGGCGAAGGCGACUUACUGGACUGAUACUGACGCUGAGGUACGAAAGCGUGGGGAGCGAACAGGAUUAGAUACCCUGGUAG